UACGUAGGUGGCAAGCGUUGUCCGGAAUUAUUGGGCGUAAAGCGCGCGCAGGCGGUCCUUUAAGUCUGAUGUGAAAGCCCACGGCUCAACCGUGGAGGGUCAUUGGAAACUGGGGGACUUGAGUGCAGAAGAGGAAAGCGGAAUUCCACGUGUAGCGGUGAAAUGCGUAGAGAUGUGGAGGAACACCAGUGGCGAAGGCGGCUUUCUGGUCUGUAACUGACGCUGUGGCGCGAAAGCGUGGGGAGCAAACAGG
rnacentral:rRNA from 1 species